ACCGUAGCCAUUUUGGCU
rnacentral:sRNA from 4 species